rnacentral:rRNA from 1 species
CGUAGGGUGCGAGCGUUAAUCGGAAUUACUGGGCGUAAAGCGUGCGCAGGCGGUUUUGUAAGACAGGCGUGAAAUCCCCGGGCUCAACCUGGGAACUGCGCUUGUGACUGCAAGGCUAGAGUACGGCAGAGGGGGGUGGAAUUCCAUGUGUAGCAGUGAAAUGCGUAGAGAUGUGGAGGAACACCAAUGGCGAAGGCAGCCCCCUGGGUCGAUACUGACGCUCAUGCACGAAAGCGUGGGUAGCAAACAGGAUUAGAUACCCUGGUAGUCCACGCUCUAAACGAUGUCAACUAGGUGUUGGGUGGGUAAAACCAUUUAGUACCGGAGCUAACGCGUGAAGUUGACCGCCUGGGGAGUACGGCCGCAAGGUUA